AACGAACGCUGGCGGCAUGCCUAAACACAUGCAAGUCGAACGAAGCCCUUCGGGCGUUAGUGGCGCACGGGUGCGUAACACGUGGGAAUCUGCCCUUCGGUUCGGAAUAACAGUUAGAAAUGACUGCUAAUACCGGAUGAUGACGAAAGUCCAAAGAUUUAUCGCCGAAGGAUGAGCCCGCGUAGGAUUAGGUAGUUGGUAGGGUAAUGGCCUACCAAGCCGACGAUCCUUAGCUGGUCUGAGAGGAUGAUCAGCCACACUGGGACUGAGACACGGCCCAGACUCCUACGGGAGGCAGCAGUGGGGAAUAUUGGACAAUGGGCGAAAGCCUGAUCCAGCAAUGCCGCGUGAGUGAUGAAGGCCUUAGGGUUGUAAAGCUCUUUUACCAGGGAUGAUAAUGACAGUACCUGGAGAAUAAGCUCCGGCUAACUCCGUG
rnacentral:rRNA from 1 species